GAAAUGCGAUAAGUAGUGUGAAUUGCAGAAUUCAGUGAAUCAUCGAAUCUUUGAACGCACAUUGCGCCCCUUGGUAUUCAUGGGGCAUGCCUGUUCGAGCGUCAUUUGUACCCUCAAGCUCUGCUUGGUGUUGGGUGUUUGUCCCGUCUCCGCGCGUGGACUCGCCCCAAAGUGAUUGGCAGCCGGCGUACUGGUCCCGGAGCGCAGCACAUGUCGCGCAAACGAGUGCCUUGGUACGGCGGCGUCCAUAAGCCCCUCUCUCACGCUCUUGACCUCGGAUCAGGUAGGGAUACCCGCUGAACUUAAGC
rnacentral:misc_RNA from 1 species